UGCAGGUCGAACGGGGAAGCAGAGCUUGCUCUGUGGGCAGUGGCGAACGGGUGAGUAACACGUGAGCAACCUGCCCCUGACUCUGGGAUAAGCGCUGGAGACGGCGUCUAAUACUGAACCAUGAUCAACUCCUAAUGGCCAGUUGUUGGAAAGAUUUUUUGGUUGGGGAUGGGCUCGCGGCCUAUCAGCUUGUUGGUGAGGUAAUGGCUCACCAAGGCGUCGACGGGUAGCCGGCCUGAGAGGGUGACCGGCCACACUGGGACUGAGACACGGCCCAGACUCCUACGGGAGGCAGCAGUGGGGAAUAUUGCACAAUGGGCGGAAGCCUGAUGCAGCAACGCCGCGUGAGGGAUGACGGCCUUCGGGUUGUAAACCUCUUUUAGCAGGGAAGAAGCGAAAGUGACGGUACCUGCAGAAAAAGCGCCGGCUAACUACGUGCCAGCAGCCGCGGUAAUACGUAGGGCGCAAGCGUUAUCCGGAAUUAUUGGGCGUAAAGAGCUCGUAGGCGGUUUGUCGCGUCUGCUGUGAAAUCUGGGGGCUCAACCCCCAGCCUGCAGUGGGUACGGGCAGACUAGAGUGCGGUAGGGGAGAUUGGAAUUCCUGGUGUAGCGGUGGAAUGCGCAGAUAUCAGGAGGAACACCGAUGGCGAAGGCAGAUCUCUGGGCCGUAACUGACGCUGAGGAGCGAAAGGGUGGGGAGCAAACAGGCUUAGAUACCCUGGUAGUCCACCCCGUAAACGUUGGGAACUAGUUGUGGGGUCCAUUCCACGGAUUCCGUGACGCAGCUAACGCAUUAAGUUCCCCGCCUGGGGAGUACGGCCGCAAGGCUAAAACUCAAAGGAAUUGACGGGGACCCGCACAAGCGGCGGAGCAUGCGGAUUAAUUCGAUGCAACGCGAAGAACCUUACCAAGGCUUGACAUAUACGAGAACGGGCCAGAAAUGGUCACUCUUUGGACACUCGUAAACAGGUGGUGCAUGGUUGUCGUCAGCUCGUGUCG
rnacentral:rRNA from 1 species